rnacentral:rRNA from 1 species
AGGCAGCAGUGGGGAAUAUUGCACAAUGGGGGAAACCCUGAUGCAGCCAUGCCGCGUGUGUGAAGAAGGCCUUCGGGUUGUAAAGCACUUUCAGCGAGGAGGAAAGGUCAGUAGCUAAUAUCUGCUGGCUGUGACGUUACUCGCAGAAGAAGCACCGGCUAACUCCGUGCCAGCAGCCGCGGUAAUACGGAGGGUGCAAGCGUUAAUCGGAAUUACUGGGCGUAAAGCGCACGCAGGCGGUUGGAUAA